AGUGAACGCUGGCGGUAGGCCUAACACAUGCAAGUCGAACGGCAGCACAGUAAGAGCUUGCUCUUACGGGUGGCGAGUGGCGGACGGGUGAGGAAUACAUCGGAAUCUACUUUUUCGUGGGGGAUAACGUAGGGAAACUUACGCUAAUACCGCAUACGACCUACGGGUGAAAGCAGGGGAUCUUCGGACCUUGCGCGAUUGAAUGAGCCGAUGUCGGAUUAGCUAGUUGGCGGGGUAAAGGCCCACCAAGGCGACGAUCCGUAGCUGGUCUGAGAGGAUGAUCAGCCACACUGGAACUGAGACACGGUCCAGACUCCGACGGGAGGCAGCAGUGGGGAAUAUUGGACAAUGGGCGCAAGCCUGAUCCAGCCAUACCGCGUGGGUGAAGAAGGCCUUCGGGUUGUAAAGCCCUUUUGUUGGGAAAGAAAAGCAGCAGGUUAAUACCCCGCUGUUCUGACGUUACCCAAAGAAUAAGCACCGGCUAACUUCGUG
rnacentral:rRNA from 1 species